rnacentral:rRNA from 1 species
UACACUCCUACGGGAGGCAGCAGUGGGGAAUUUUGGACAAUGGGCGAAAGCCUGAUCCAGCAAUGCCGCGUGAGUGAAGAAGGCCUUCGGGUUGUAAAGCUCUUUUGUCAGGGAAGAAACGGUGAGAGCUAAUAUCUUUUGCUAAUGACGGUACCUGAAGAAUAAGCACCGGCUAACUACGUGCCAGCAGCCGCGGUAAUACGUAGGGUGCAAGCGUUAAUCGGAAUUACUGGGCGUAAAGCGUGCGCAGGCGGUUUUGUAAGUCUGAUGUGAAAUCCCCGGGCUCAACCUGGGAAUUGCAUUGGAGACUGCAAGGCUAGAAUCUGGCAGAGGGGGGUAGAAUUCCACGUGUAGCAGUGAAAUGCGUAGAUAUGUGGAGGAACACCGAUGGCGAAGGCAGCCCCCUGGGUCAAGAUUGACGCUCAUGCACGAAAGCGUGGGGAGCAAACAGGAUUAGAUACCCCUGUAGUCCCAUGA